rnacentral:rRNA from 1 species
GACGAACGCUGGCGGCGUGCUUAACACAUGCAAGUCGAACGGAAAGGCCCUGCUUUUGUGGGGUGCCCGAGUGGCGAACGGGUGAGUAACACGUGAGUAACCUGCCCUUGACUUUGGGAUAACUUCAGGAAACUGGGGCUAAUACCGGAUAGGAGCUCCUGCUCCAUGGUGGGGGUUGGAAGGUUUCGGCGGUUGGGGAUGGACUCGCGGCUUAUCAGCUUGUUGGUGGGGUAGUGGCUUACCAAGGCUUUGACGGGUAGCCGGCCUGAGAGGGUGACCGGCCACAUUGGGACUGAGAUACGGCCCAGACUCCUACGGGAGGCAGCAGUGGGGAAUAUUGCACAAUGGGCGGAAGCCUGAUGCAGCAACGCCGCGUGCGGGAUGACGGCCUUCGGGUUGUAAACCGCUUUCGCCUGUGACGAAGCGUGAGUGACGGUAAUGGGUAAAGAAGCACCGGCUAACUACGUG